GCCUGGUCACUUUACUUGGUAACAUUCAUGCUGAUAAUGCAUGUUCCUUAGUCCUGUCAAAAUAGCAGGGCAGUUGCACCAAAUUUGAAUAAAAAGGGUCUAGAAACAGUCUUAUGUAUAACACAGCCUAUGUGACACAUUUCAAAUUCACUUUGAGGGUCCUGAAAGGUACAACAACUCAUUUUCUCUUCCGCACUGAGUGGCAUGCCAUAUACAUUUAAAGACUUACAAACUGAGCUGAGAAAAUUUCAUUUCUAAAUGUGUGGCUAUUUUAUGGAAGGUAGAAGAGGACAUGA